UACGUAGGGUGCAAGCGUUAAUCGGAAUUACUGGGCGUAAAGCGUGCGCAGGCGGUUAUGCAAGACAGAUGUGAAAUCCCCGGGCUCAACCUGGGAACUGCAUUUGUGACUGCAUAGCUAGAGUACGGUAGAGGGGGAUGGAAUUCCGCGUGUAGCAGUGAAAUGCGUAGAUAUGCGGAGGAACACCGAUGGCGAAGGCAAUCCCCUGGACCUGUACUGACGCUGAGGUGCGAAAGCGUGGGGAGCAAACGGG
rnacentral:rRNA from 1 species